rnacentral:rRNA from 1 species
UACAGAGGUCUCAAGCGUUGUUCGGAUUCAUUGGGCGUAAAGGGUGCGUAGGUGGCGCUGUAAGUCGGGUGUGAAAUUUCGGAGCUUAACUCCGAAACUGCAUUCGAUACUGCGGUGCUUGAGGACUGGAGAGGAGACUGGAAUUCAUGGUGUAGCAGUGAAAUGCGUAGAUAUCAAGUGGAACACCAGUGGCGAAGGCGAGUCCCUGGACAACUCCUGACACUGAGGCACGAAAGCUAGGGGAGCAAACAGG